rnacentral:rRNA from 1 species
CCCUUAGAUGUCCGGGGCCGCACGCGCGCUACACUGAAGGUAUCAGCGUGGCUUUCUCCCUGACCCGAAAGGGUUGGGAAACCCGUUGAAUCUCCUUCGUGAUAGGGAUUGGGGCUUGAAAUUGUUCCCCAUGAACGAGGAAUUCCCAGUAAGCGCGAGUCAUAAGCUCGCGUUGAUUACGUCCCUGCCCUUUGUACACACCGCCCGUCGCUACUACCGAUUGAACGGUUUAGUGAGGGCCUCGGAUUGGUCUCGGCCCGCUCUUUACCGGGCGGCGCCGUUGGUCGAGAAGACGCUCGAACUUGAUCGUUUAGAGGAAGUAAAAGUCGUAACA